AUCGGGAUCCCCAGCACAAAAUAACUAAGCACAAGAUUAAGGUUUUGCCAUGGCCAUCACAGCACCUUUGGGAUGAGCCACAAAGGUAAGUCUCUAAGGAUGAAACCUGAGCACCUGGAGGAAACCCGCGAUGACUCCACACAUAAAGGACCCAGCCCACUCAACCUGGGAAUUGAAGGACCUUCUUCCUGUGAGGCGACAGUGCCACCCACCCAGCAACUGUUUUGAUAUUAUUUACAACAGCAAUAAAAAAAUAGUGUUGAUGAACUUGAUAAACUGAAGUGCUACAAGUUCUUAAUAAGCUUCAUAAUAAUAAAGUACUAAAGAUUUAA